rnacentral:tRNA from 1 species
GCACCUGUGGCUCAGAGGAGUAGGGCACUGGCCUUAUAUGCCAGAGGUAGCAGGUUCA